UUUCUUUUUUGGGCUUGAACUUGCAAUCCUCCUGCUUCAGCCUCCCACGUGACUGGGAUUACAUGCAUGUGCAGUCAUGCCCACCAACUGGGUCCACUUUUAAGUCUGAGUUUAAAAGGACAGUACCUUCAGAGACAAAAUCAAAAAAGGAUCAUACACCUAACUGCUCCAGUGAUUCCUUUGAGACGCAAAUUAAAAAAGAGACAACAGGAAAGGUGAUCCGCUCAGAGCUUUCACCUGGUGCCUGGGCUUCCUUUGGUGUUACAUGUAGUCACCGAGUUCGAGGAGUUGAAUGGAAAUUUGGAUCCAGAGGAGAAAAGGAUUCAGAAGGGAACUCACUAGGCGGGAGUCCCUGGGGGUGAAGCUGAAGACCUAAUCCAAGAUGCCCACAGCUCUGGAGAGGUGGGAAGUGCUCAAGGAGGGAGCGAGAUGGUAUUAAUGCAAAAGACUACAUCUACAGACUGCGUCUAUGGAGUUUUAUGCCAUGCUGGGGGCCCCGCUGUGCACCACAGCUCUCUGUAAGACAAAGCUGCCAAGCAAGAAGACCUAGGCUUGAUGAAUCCGGUGGGAAAAGCUCUGGGAAGAUACUGAUGAGGGGGCAGUUUGACCACAGGGUGAGAAAUAGGAAGGCUUGGAGUCUCUUCCUACAAGAAAAGAAAACAAACAAAAGAGAAGAGGAGAGGAGAGGAGAGGAGAGAAGAGAGAAGAGAGA